UACGGGGGGGGCAAGCGUUGUUCGGAAUUACUGGGCGUAAAGGGCUCGUAGGUGGCCAACUAAGUCAGACGUGAAAUCCCUCGGCUUAACCGGGGAACUGCGUCCGAUACUGGUUGGCUUGAAUUCGGGAGAGGGAUGCGGAAUUCCAGGUGUAGCGGUGAAAUGCGUAGAUAUCUGGAGGAACACCGGUGGCGAAGGCGGCAUCCUGGACCGAGAUUGACGCUGAUGCGCGAAAGCCAGGGGAGCAAACGGG
rnacentral:rRNA from 1 species